GACGUACGCUGGCGGCGUGCCUAAUACAUGCAAGUAGGACGCAGUUGCGAACGGGUGAGUAACGCGUAGGUAACUACCUCUUAGCGGGGGUUAACUAUUGGAAACGAUAGCUAAUACCGCAUACUAGUAGAUGGACCUGCGUUGUAUUAGCUAGUAGGUAGGGUAAUGGCCUACCUAGGCAACGAUACAUAGCCGACCUGAGAGGGUGAUAGGCCACACUGGGACUGAGACACGGCCCAGACUCCGACGGGAGGCAGCAGUAGGGAAUCUUCGGCAAGGGGGGGAACCCGGACCGAGCAACGCCGAGUGAGGGAAGAAGGUUUUCGGAACGUAAAGCUCUGUUGUUAAUGAAGCAGUGCUUAGUCAGAAAGGAACGGCAAACUACGUGCCAGCAGCCGCGGUAAUAC
rnacentral:rRNA from 1 species